CCUACGGGGGGCAGCAGUGAGGAAUAUUGGUCAAUGGACGAGAGUCUGAACCAGCCAAGUAGCGUGAAGGAUGACUGCCCUAUGGGUUGUAAACUUCUUUUAUAUGGGAAUAAAAUGUUCCACGUGUGGGAUUUUGUAUGUACCAUAUGAAUAAGGAUCGGCUAACUCCGUGCCAGCAGCCGCGGUAAUACGGAGGAUCCGAGCGUUAUCCGGAUUUAUUGGGUUUAAAGGGAGCGUAGGUGGAUUGUUAAGUCAGUUGUGAAAGUUUGCGGCUCAACCGUAAAAUUGCAGUUGAAACUGGCAGUCUUGAGUACAGUAGAGGUGGGCGGAAUUCGCGGUGUAGCGGUGAAAUGCUUAGAUAUCACGAAGAACUCCGAUUGCGAAGGCAGUUCACUGGACUGCAACUGACACUGAGGCUCGAAAGUGUGGGUAUCAAACAGGAUUAGAUACCCGAGUAGUC
rnacentral:rRNA from 1 species